rnacentral:rRNA from 1 species
UACGGGGGGAGCAAGCGUUGUUCGGAUUUACUGGGCGUAAAGGGCGCGUAGGCGGCAUGACAAGUCACUUGUGAAAUCUCUGGGCUUAACCCAGAACGGCCAAGUGAUACUGUCGCGCUAGAGUGCGGAAGGGGCAAUCGGAAUUCUCGGUGUAGCGGUGAAAUGCGUAGAUAUCGAGAGGAACACCUGAGGUGAAGACGGGUUGCUGGGCCGACACUGACGCUGAGUGCGCGAAGCCAGGGGAGCAAACGGG